UACAGAGGUCCCAAGCGUUGUUCGGAUUCAUUGGGCGUAAAGGGUGCGUAGGCGGCGCGGUAAGUCGGGUGUGAAAUCUCGGGGCUCAACCCCGGAACUGCAUUUGAAACUGCCUUGCUCGAGUACUGGAGAGGAGACUGGAAUUUACGGUGUAGCAGUGAAAUGCGUAGAUAUCGUAAGGAAGACCAGUGGCGAAGGCGAGUCUCUGGACAGUUACUGACACUGAGGCACGAAGGCCAGGGGAGCAAACGGG
rnacentral:rRNA from 1 species